rnacentral:rRNA from 1 species
GACGAACGCUGGCGGCGUGCUUAACACAUGCAAGUCGAGCGGUAAGGCCCUUUCGGGGGUACACGAGCGGCGAACGGGUGAGUAACACGUGGGUGACCUGCCCUCAGCUCUGGGAUAAGCCUGGGAAACCGGGUCUAAUACCGGAUAUGACUCCAUGACGCAUGUUGUGGGGUGGAAAGCCUUGUGCGGCUGAGGAUGGGCCCGCGGCCUAUCAGCUUGUUGGUGGGGUGAGGCCUACCAAGGCGACGACGGUAGCCGGCCUGAGAGGGCGACCGGCCACACUGGGACUGAGACACGGCCCAGACUCCUACGGGAGGCAGC